rnacentral:tRNA from 1 species
GUAGAUGUAGCUCAGUUGGUUAGAGCAUCUGACUGUUAAUUAGAAUGUCGCAGGUUCGAGUCCUGCUAUCUAUG